rnacentral:rRNA from 1 species
GACGAACGCUGGCGGCGUGCUUAACACAUGCAAGUCGAACGGAAAGGCCCUGCUUUUGUGGGGUGCUCGAGUGGCGAACGGGUGAGUAACACGUGAGUAACCUGCCCUUGACUUUGGGAUAACUUCAGGAAACUGGGGCUAAUACCGGAUAGGAGCUCCUGCUGCAUGGUGGGGGUUGGAAAGUUUCGGCGGUUGGGGAUGGACUCGCGGCUUAUCAGCUUGUUGGUGGGGUAGUGGCUUACCAAGGCUUUGACGGGUAGCCGGCCUGAGAGGGUGACCGGCCAAAUGGGGACUGAGAUCCGGCCCAGACUCCUACGGGAGGCAGCAGGGGGGAAUUUUGCACAAGGGGGGGAAGCCUGAUGGAGCAACCCCGGGGGGGGGAUGACGGCCUUGGGGUUGUAAACCGCUUUCCCCUGUGACGAAGCGGGAGUGACGGUAAUGGGAAAAGAAGCACCGGCUAACUACGG